rnacentral:misc_RNA from 1 species
GCAAACUUGGUCAUUUAGAGGAAGUAAAAGUCAUAACAAGGUUUCCGUAGGUGAACCUGCGGAAGGAUCAUUAAAGUGUUUUGUUGCGGUGCGCCCCUCCAAGGGCGUGCCCCGAAACCCCACCCUUGAUUACUGUACCGUCCGUUGCUUCGGCGGGCCCUACCCCCCGGGGUUCGUGCCCGCCGGAGGACAAUCUGAACUCUUUGUGAUAUUCGGCCGUCUGAGUGAUUUUUGAAUCGUUAAAACUUUCAACAAUGGAUCUCUUGGUUCCGGCAUCGAUGAAGAACGCAGC